rnacentral:lncRNA from 1 species
GUUUUCAUCGUUGGGGAUAUUUAAGAGAUGUGUGGAUGUGGUACUAAGGGAUAUGGUUUAGUGAUGGGACUCAGUUGGACUCAAUGACCUUGAAGGUAAUUUCCAACUAAAUGAGUCUAUGAUUCCACAUUUAUGUAAGCAAUUGAUGUUUUUUUUUUAGAUUCAAUUGAGUUGAAAAAUUGGAAGAGCAUCAUAAGGAUCAGGUCACCUUCAAAUGCCUUUGUACCUUAUUUAAGCUAAAAGAGACAAAAAGAAAAAGAAAAAAAGAAAAAAGAAGAGUAGAAAGAUGAAGAAUGUUCCUGGUGUCAUGUAAUUGCAUGGUAGCUGUUACCAGAAAGGCAUGUAUGCAGGAACUGGGAUCUGCUGAUGUGUAUCUGAAUUUCACUCUGAUAUUGUGAGAAGGCAUGAAACCAAUGUUAUGUGAAAGCAAUUUGAAAUUAAUUUCUUUGCUAUAUUGUCUCCCACCUCCCUGGUCAAAUUCCUCCUUGCACUUGGAAAGGCACAGUGGGAAAGUAGCAGCUUGUUGACAAGUAUUUGCCACAGAGGUAUAUGACUACUCAAAUUCCAACUCUUAAGAGAACAUUGAGGCUCAAGAGCUUCCCAGAACUGAACAUAUUCCUUACAAAGCAUCAAUGUCUGAAGGUACCUGCAAGAGAGUCAAAACUUAAAGAUGCAAUAUGAACCUUAAGGUAUGACUAAACGAUUGCAUAAAUCUCACCGGCUUUUCAACAAAAAUGCUUCUUCUGUGUCCAGCUCCAGUGCUGCAUCAGGUUCCCUAUAUUUCUAAAUAUGACGACAGAAAUCUCACACCGGUAAUAAUGACAUUUUAAGGUAAAAUUACUCUCUAUGCUCUGUACCCGGAUGAGCAAGGAGCAGGAGAGAACUAGCAACUUUAGCUUUUGAUCGCAAUGAAGCUGAAAAGAGAAGCUGUGGAACUGAGAUUGUGGCAUGACACUAAUGGAGAGUGCAUUGGGAGGAGCUGAAGCACUGAUGAGGGCUGGUGCUGCUAUCGAGGAGUAGAGAGAAAGAAAGCCAAAGUUAUACAGACGUGGUUGAAAUAUCAUAAUCAUGAAGCAGGACACAAAAAUAGGGUGUCAGAAAGCUUCUCUUCCAUAGUGAGGUGCUCGCUUUCUCUGUUUGUCUCCACAAUAGAGAAGACAGCCUACAUAAUGGCUCAGGAAAAAAGCUGAUCCUAGAAAGCUAUGACACCUCUAGACAGUGACUUUAGUUUUGAUCAAGGCUUAGUGAAAAAUGAGUAGAAAUAAAAAUGAUUAUUGUAUAAUGACA